rnacentral:rRNA from 1 species
AUUGAACGCUGGCGGCAGGCUUAACACAUGCAAGUCGAGCGGGGUGAUGGUGCUUGCACUAUCACUUAGCGGCGGACGGGUGAGUAAUGCUUAGGAAUCUGCUUAUUAGUGGGGGACAACAUCUCGAAAGGGAUGCUAAUACCGCAUACGUCCUACGGGAGAAAGCAGGGGAUCACUUGUGACCUUGCGCUAAUAGAUGAGCCUAAGUCGGAUUAGCUAGUUGGUGGGGUAAAGGCCUACCAAGGCGACGAUCUGUAGCGGGUCUGAGAGGAUGAUCCGCCACACUGGGACUGGAACACGGCCCAGACUCCUACUGGAGGCAGCAGUGGGGAAUAUUGGACAAUGGGGGGAACCCUGAUCCAGCCAUGCCGCGUGUGUGAAGAAGGCCUUAUGGUUGUAAAGCACUUUAAGCGAGGAGGAGGCUCUUUUGGUUAAUACCCAAGAUGAGUGGACGUUACUCGCAGAAUAAGCACCGGCUAACUCUGUGCCAGCCGCCGCGGUAA